GACGAACGCUGGCGGCGUGCUUAACACAUGCAAGUCGAACGGAAAGGCCCUGCUUUUGUGGGGUGCUCGAGUGGCGAACGGGUGAGUAACACGUGAGUAACCUGCCCUUGACUUUGGGAUAACUUCAGGAAACUGGGGCUAAUACCGGAUAGGAGCUCCUGCUGCAUGGUGGGGGUUGGAAAGUUUCGGCGGUUGGGGAUGGACUCGCGGCUUAUCAGCUUGUUGGUGGGGUAGUGGCUUACCAAGGCUUUGACGGGUAGCCGGCCUGAGAGGGUGACCGGCCACAUUGGGACUGAGGUACGGCCCAGACGCAUACGGGAGGCAGGAGUGGGGAAUAUUGCAAAAUGGGCGGAAGCCUGAUGGAGCAACGCCGCGUGCGGGAUGACGGCCUUCGGGUUGUAAACCGCUUUCGCCUGUGACGAAGCGUGAGUGACGGUAAUGGGUAAAGAAGCACCGGCUAACUCCGU
rnacentral:rRNA from 1 species